rnacentral:lncRNA from 1 species
CUUUUCUAAAGUGAAUGCUAAGUUAUUUUUUAUUCUCACUUGUGUACUUUAAGUAAAUGCCUUUUUGGACAGAGACCAAGAUUGGCAAGCAAACUUUAUUCUUCACCAACACGAGUCUCUCUAAGUGUAGCUAAGCCGCUCUCAGAAAAGAAGGAUGUCUCUUCAAAGAAGACUGAAAAUAAAGUCUCUAAAAACAAUACUGAAAAGAGAAUAACUUCAAGGAGUACUGAAAAGAAAGAUAUCUUAAAUUUACAGUCUAAUCUAUGGUCAUCUUAUUUGAAAGAAAGUACAGGUGAAGAGGGCAAAGAUGCAGUCAUUGCAAAGCAGGAGAAAGUUGAUGACUAUUGCCUUCAAGAUACUGAUAAGUUGUCAGAGUCAACGAAUGAUGAUAAAAGUUAUAUCAUUGAUGAAGACAGUAAAAAUGGUACCCGAGCCCCAUUAGAGUUGAUGGCAGAAUUCCUGAGAGCUGAAAUGGGCCGAGACUACCACCUGGCAAAAAAAUUAUGUCAGAUGAUCCUCAUCUAUGAACCAGAAAAUCCUGAGGCCAAGGAGUUUUCCUCACUUAUUGAAGAAUUGCUGCUGAAGGAGGAAGCUCAGAACCUGGAGGAAAACGAAGAGGAUAGUGAAGAAGACAGCAGCACCGAGAGCGAGGACAGCAGUGAGGACCUGAGCGGGGAGAGCUCUGACGAGCGCAAGGACGGGCCGUGACCGUCGCUGCUGCGGUUUAAGCGUCGUGCAUUUUCAUUAUUGUAUACCAUACAAAUAUAAAGAAGACUCUUGCUCUAUCUUG